rnacentral:rRNA from 1 species
CAGCCGCCGCGGUAAUACGUAGGGUGCGAGCGUUAAUCGGAAUUACUGGGCGUAAAGCGUGCGCAGGCGGUUGUGUAAGACAGGUGUGAAAUCCCCGGGCUUAGCCUGGGAACUGCGCUUGUGACUGCACAGCUAGAGUAUGGCAGAGGGGGGUGGAAUUCCACGUGUAGCAGUGAAAUGCGUAGAGAUGUGGAGGAACACCGAUGGCGAAGGCAGCCCCCUGGGCCAAUACUGACGCUCAUGCACGAAAGCGUGGGGAGCAAACAGGAUUAGAGACCCGCGUAGUCCCUGUCUCUUAUAC